rnacentral:ncRNA from 1 species
AUUAGUAACAAAAAAUAACGAAUUAAAAUCGUUAUCACCGAAAAUUCAAGGGUUUCUAUGUUAAAAUGUAUUUCAUAGAGUGAAACGGCCCCUAAGAAAGAUUUAACGAAAGUAAAUUUUGAUGGGAUAAUUUUUAAAUUAAAUUUUUUUUAAAAAGUGACAAAAAUUUUUAAUUUUUCAGGAAAUAGCUUUUUAAAUAAAAAACCGUACCCUAAACCGACACAGGUGAAUAGGUUGAGUAAACUAAGGUGUAUGAGUAAACUGUAUUGAAGGAACUCGGCAAAAUGACUUUGUAACUUCGGGAUAAAAAGUACCUAAAUUAUUAUAAAUAAUUUAGGUGUCACAAAAUAGGGGGUUGCGACUGUUUAAUAAAAACUUAGGACUCUGCUAAAUGGUAACAUGAUGUAUAGGGUCUGACACCUGCCCGGUGCUGGAAGAUUAAGAAAAAAUGUUUGCGCAUUAAAUUGAAGUCCCAGUAAACGGCGGCCGUAACUCUGACGGUCCUAAGGUAGCGAAAUUCCUUGUCGGGUAAGUUCCGACCUGCAUGAAUGGUGUAACGACAUCCCCGCUGUCUCCAAUACAGACUCAGUGAAUUU